rnacentral:rRNA from 1 species
UACGGAGGGUGCAAGCGUUAAUCGGAAUUACUGGGCGUAAAGCGCACGCAGGCGGUUUGUUAAGUCCGCUGUGAAAUCCCCGGGCUCAACCUGGGAACUGCAUUUGAAACUGGCAGGCUUGAGUCUCGUAGAGGGGGGUAGAAUUCCAGGUGUAGCGGUGAAAUGCGUAGAGAUCUGGAGGAAUACCGAUGGCGAAGGCAGCCCCCUGGACAAAGACCGACGCUCAGGUGCGAAAGCGUGGGGAGCAAACAGG